UGUGUGUUAGUGGAAGCGUCUGGAAAGGCGCGCGAUACAGGGUGACAGCCCCGUACACAAAAGCGCAUGUGCUGUGAGCUCGAUGAGUAGGGCGGGACACGUGGUAUCCUGUCUGAAUAUGGGGGGACCAUCCUCCAAGGCUAAAUACUCCUGACUGACCGAUAGUGAACCAGUACCGUGAGGGAAAGGCGAAAAGAACCCCGGCGAGGGGAGUGAAAAAGAACCUGAAACCGUGUACGUACAAGCAGUGGGAGCACAGGUUUACCUGUGUGACUGCGUACCUUUUGUAUAAUGGGUCAGCGACUUAUAUUCUGUAGCAAGGUUAACCGUAUAGGGGAGCCGAAGGGAAACCGAGUCUUAACCGGGCGUUAAGUUGCAGGGUAUAGACCCGAAACCCGGUGAUCUAGCCAUGGGCAGGUUGAAGGUUGGGUAACACUAACUGGAGGACCGAACCGACUAAUGUUGAAAAAUUAGCGGAUGACCUGUGGCUGGGGGUGAAAGGCCAAUCAAACCGGGAGAUAGCUGGUUCUCCCCGAAAGCUAUUUAGGUAGCGCCUCGUGAAUUCAUCUCCGGGGGUAGAGCACUGUUUCGGCUAGGGGGCCAUCCCGGCUUACCAACCCGAUGCAAACUGCGAAUACCGGAGAAUGUUAUCACGGGAGACACACGGCGGGUGCUAACGUCCGUCGUGAAGAGGGAAACAACCCAGACCGCCAGCUAAGGUCCCAAAGUCAUGGUUAAGUGGGAAACGAUGUGGGAAGGCCCAGACAGCCAGGAUGUUGGCUUAGAAGCAGCCAUCAUUUAAAGAAAGCGUAAUAGCUCACUGGUCGAGUCGGCCUGCGCGGAAGAUGUAACGGGGCUAAACCAU
rnacentral:rRNA from 1 species